AGAGACUCACACCCACAUAGUAGAUGGAGUCUUCUGGAAGAGUUGGGAGAAAGAUCCCCGGGACCCGAAGAGAACAAGGACUCCACAGGAAGACAGAGUCAACUAACCUGAAACCCUGGGGACUCCCAGAGAUCAGCCAAAGAGUGAGUUCUUGCUGGACCUAGGCUCCCUGCACAUAUGUAGCAGAUGAGCAGCUUGGUCUUCAUCUGGGUUCCCCAACAACUGGAGCAGGGGCUGUGCCUGAGCCUGCUGCCUGCUUGCCUGCAAACCCUGUACCUGUAAAUGGACAGCCUUAUCUGGUCUCAUUGGGAGAGGAUGUGUGGGUGGGGUGAGGCGGGGGAUGGGAGGCUGAAAGGAGGAAGUGGGAUGGGAGUGGGGGAUUAAGACUCAGGGGGGCCUUCCAGUCUCAAAAAAAGGAGGGGAAAGGGAAAUGGGGGGAGGACUUGUGUGAGGGGAUCCUGGGAAGAAAAGAAGGGCUGAUAUUGGGUUUUAAAGUGAAUACAUAAACUUAAUUUAAAAAAAAAUCAGAAAUUUGAGAGUUUAACAUUCAGAGGGGAUGUCAAAGGGAAUAAAUAAAUAAAUAAAUUUAAUUUAAAAAAAAAAGGCAGGCUUUGAAAAUGACAUGGAGAAGCCAUGCCAUCCUGCCUGGAGAAGGCAGGGUGCCUUUGCUAAAUAACCUGACAGCUUGGCAACAGGUUGCUAAGAGGUAGAUAGUUAUUUAAGGCAUGAUAUCACAGCAAGACAUCUUACAUUAACUCCAAGGAAGUCCCUCUGAAUGUCACUCUUCAAACUAAGCUUUAAUACAUUGUAUUUAAAAAGCACUCCUAGGAAAAAGACCCAGCAAGGAGAAAUUUGAUCAAUCAGUUUUAGACAUCUUAACUGACAAACCUCAAUUCUUCAGCCACUCUCACAGAAGCACUGAAGUAAUAGAGAGCAAGCAUUACAAAUAUUCUACACUGUGCUGGUUUGAAUGAGAAUGGCCCCAUAGGCUGAUACAUUUAAAUACUUUUGCCCAAAAUUGGUGGAACUGUUUGGCAAGGACUAGAAGUGUUCUUGUUGGAGGAGGUGUUUCACUGGGGACAGGCUUUGCAAUUUGGAAAGCCCACACUGUUUCAAGUCUCUCUCCCUGCUAAGUGGUUGUAUCUUAUGUUGUGAGCCCUCAGCUUCUGCUCCAGUGCCAUGCUAGCCACUGCUGCCAUGCUUCCGACCAUGAGGGGACAGCUCUCUAACCUCCCCACCCCCGGAAUACGUUCUUUUAUAAGUUGCUCUGGUAAUGGUGUCUCAUCACAGCAGUAUAUUAGCACACAGGCUAAGAAACUUAUAAAUGUCUCACUGAGGAUUCUGUAUUAUGUAAUACACCUUUCACAGAAUUCUGGGGAUAAAUAUUUCCUAAAGCAAGCAAGCAAGCAAGCAAGAAAGCAAACAAACAAAAACCUGACAUACCUUACAGAAAAUGAAAAGGCUAAUGACACAGAGAGAUCCAAACUCACUGGUAAUUAGAGCUGAGAAGAACGAAACCCUGACUUUAUAUCUAGCAAUAGUGAAAAGCAAGAAGCCAUGGCAACGCUGGCUGUGAGGUGAAGAGAGGAUGUCUGCCCUUGGCUUUUGGAGGUAAGGCUGGUUUAGCCCUUCUGAAGAGCAACCAGUCACCCCCUUGCCACAGUGUUAGCCAACUCAACGCCAAACGCACAAGAUCCAUUUCUGGACACAGAUGCUAAGGAAUUUGCACAGAAGUCCAUAAGAAGACAUGAAAGAAGAUGCUCUUUGCUUCAUUCCUAGUAAUCAGUACUUGGAGGCUGACCAUAGGUCAGUUAUAGAUUGGCCAGGCAUGGUGGCACACAGCUUUAAUAAUAGCAAUUGAGAGGUAGAUGCAAGCAGAUCACUGAGUUUGAGGCCAGUCUGGUUUAGACAGUGAGCUCCAGGCUAGCUGGGGCUGCAUAGUGAGCCUGUCUCAAAAACAAACAUCAAAAAAAAAAAAAUCAUGAUGAUGCAUAUUGUAAAUGCUAGUUCUUAGGAGAUGGCGGUCUACAGUCCAGGAGUUCAAGGCCAGCCAACACUACAUGAGACCCUCAAACAUACAAACACAAAGAUAGACUAAAAACAUGAUGUAUGUAACAAUACCAUUUAUAUAACUAAAGUAUAUAUACAGAGAAAAUGACAUAUACUUUGUUAAAAAUGUGUAUGAGUGCACAUGUGUGUGGGGGUGUGUGUUUGUGUGUAAUAAGCACAUUAAGAAUCAUUAUCAUGGGCCAAAUGAGCAAGAGCAGAGGUACUCAAUCUGAUAAAAAGGAGAAUAAAAUAAUGAAAAAAGACACUUGUACGGAUAAUAAAAGAUAUGUUAAGAAAA